UGUUCCCCUCGGGCCCUCGCUCCCUGCGCCGAUGGGCAGCCUCCCUUCACAGCCCUCCACCGGCCGGCCCCAGCCCAGGCUCUUAGGAUGCCACUUUUGAGGUAGAAUCAACAAAUUUGACCUUAAAAUCUGGCCUUGUCCUCCUAAGAGCAGCUAACCGAGGGUCUUUGCAGAGAGGGGAAGUGAUAGAUGCAGGGCUUUGAAGGAAACAGAGGGAAAGUUAUAGGUGGGUUCCCCCUGGUUUGUGAAUUGGUGUUUUGUUUUGAAAACCCAGAUAUUUUCACCCUCCUGAGAGCUGCUGCUUUUAGGAAAAGCCUUGUUUUCAUCCAGAUGUCUCUAAUAACAAGACUACAGAACUUACACUUAUACUGGAUUGUGAAGACACUGGAUAAAUUGAAUACAUUUCAUGACUCAUUUGCCAGCAGUUCUGAUACCUGAAUGUAGCCACUCCAUUCUUUGUUAUUAAGCAAAAAAUAGAGAGAUUGAGUAACCUACAAGGAAGAUUUAUUCAAGGUUUAAUCCAAGAAAGGGAUCCAAGACAAGGAAGUAAGCAAACUACUGUUGUUUUAUAAUCCAGUAAGAAAAUAGGGAUCAAGAGCCCAGCCUUGUCAGUGAGUGAAAUUAGUCUAAAGAAUGUGAGAUCUGUAAUUAUGAAACUGACUGAGAUACAGGUUAUUAAAACAAAAAAAAAUGCAGUUCCUCAGUGCCUUAACAACAGGACUCUCCUAUGGAAAGACAUGGAAAACAGAUUUUUUAAACUUUGUUGUAUUUCCUGCUUAUAGCAAACCAUUAAUAUUUGGUGUCAAUUGCACCAGGGAUCCAAACUACUCAUUUCUGUCUGUAGCCUACUCUCAGUAAAAAUGGAGUUUACACUUCAAUAGCUUGCUUUCUUUCAUUACUCGUUUUAAUAUCAUGUCUUGGCCUCCUGUGGUGCCUUCCACAUUCGGCAGUUCUGUGUGCCUCACAUCCUUUCAGGACAAAAUGUCAGAUUUUUAAAAAAAGUCCUUUUUAAACCUACAGAUUCAAAAGUAGAAGGCCUGGAGUUGUAGAGAAUCACAUGUUCUGCACUGCACCACUGAAAAGUC